UGGAGUUGUAAAAAAUUUGGGCCUGACAGGAAAAAGGUGAGUGUUUACCCACGAGAAGUGCAACCUGAGAAUCCCAACAGCUAUAGAGCAAGGAAGAGGGAGUAAUUCAGGAUGAGGCGCAAACGCAGAAAGGCUAGAGAAGCAGGAGCAGUACUUUAACCCCAACUGGUGCUAGCUUCUAUUCCUGAUGUUGCCAUCACUAAUCCAGUGUGCUGAUACAUGUGUAAAAUUCCCCCUGUACCUGUGAUUCCCUUAUAGCGUUGUAUUCAGUUUUGUUUUGAAUUUUGAAACAGAAAACUAAUUAUGCUUUUAUGUAUUAUUCUUGACAUUUCCUUUUGUUCAAUAAUUUUCUGUUUGAUGAUGAGUUCUCACACUUCCCACCUUCACAAGCUAAGCUAAAUUGAUAUACAUU